CAAACGGUUCUUUUAAGAACCAUACAAGGUUUUUAAUUCUGGUUUA
rfam:Salmo salar isolate Sally breed double haploid chromosome ssa10, whole genome shotgun sequence.